UCAAUUUCUACUCGGUGUGAUAAUAAAUUACUUUUUCGGAAUUACAAGGUUUUCAUUCGAAUACCUGGUGUAUAUCACGUGGUUCUUUAGAACCGGUCUCGUUAGCAAGGCUAUAUAAGAGGUGAAUAGUGGUUUAAAUACCAGUUUAGGACGACACGUAGAGCACGAUAAAGUUUAAAUCUCAGAUACAGAACGAAGUGGCGUAGGGCGUGGUUCAUCGACAUGUUUAGCCAUUGUAGAUGAUAUGAAAUCACAGAAAAUAGAGUUGGAGAGAGAUUUGACAGUGUGGAAAGCGAGGUCAUCAAAGAAAAGCCAUCCUAGAUCUUGUUUUUAUAAGAUAAUUACAUGUUGGGGUUGGUAUCACGAUGAGUAUAAUGAAGAAGGUGAUUUUAAGAUCUCCAGAGAAGUACGGUAUUAUUGGUUAUAUUCUUCUUACGUUUAAUUCAAGCACCAUGAGGUAUUAAUCGGUGUACCAAUAAUGACAGAGUUUCAAAGAGGCACAUAUCCAAGGAAUUGAGAUGGGAUUCAAGAUGUUUCACAGGAAUGUGUAUU